rnacentral:rRNA from 1 species
UACGGGGGGAGCAAGCGUUGUUCGGAUUUACUGGGCGUAAAGGGCUGGUAGGCGGCCAACUAAGUCGGAUGUGAAAUCCCCAGGCUUAACCUGGGAACUGCAUCCGAUACUGGUUGGCUUGAAUCCGGGAGAGGGAUGCAGAAUUCCAGGUGUAGCGGUGAAAUGCGCAGAUAUCAGGAGGAACACCGAUGGCGAAGGCAGGUCUCUGGGCCACUACUGACGCUGAGAAGCGAAAGCAUGGGGGAGCGAACAGG